rnacentral:lncRNA from 1 species
UGACCGGCGCAUGGGUCCAAUGGACGUAAUCCACUAAACCCAAGCAAGCCUAUUAUUUAUCUUACUUAUGAUUCUAUUUAUUACCACUAAGUCCUAUUUCAUGACUUUGAGUCAAAAUAGUGAUAUACAUUGCCAACUCGUACUGGCAUUACUCUUUUAAAAUUUACAUUAAGUUCAUCUAUACAUAACAAAAUAAUACUCGACCUCUAGCGGAGUGACUCGGAUGGAUAUACAGCUACCGAAUGCCGAGACACCUACCAAAAGAUGUACACAGAUCUACAAGGACACCUCAUCCUAAUUAUCGGCUACCUCGUGAUCUGAAAACAUGAAUUUGAAAAUGGUGAGUAUAAACCCAGUGAGUGAACAAGGAAGGGAACAAGCAACAAUUAGGAAAAAUUUAAAAUCAUGAUGCACUUGUUUCAAACAAUGCAAUUUAGUUCAUUCCUAUUUAAAACCCCUCCAAACCCCAGAGUUUUUCGCUACAGCGAGCAUGAAUUUCGAUGCAGUGAAAACAAAGCAACAAGAGAAACAUUUUUCCUCACUCAACAAAAGCCAUCCUGCUAAACUAAUAAAAUCAACCUAACAUUCAUGAAAAUUCUCAAAGUAUAAUGUGUCAAAUUUUACGUACAUUACAACCAUAAAUCAUUGUCCAUCAAUUUGCUAUAUCACACACAUUUAUAUAUAUAUAUAUAUAUAUAUACGUAUAUACCCAUCAUCAUCAUCUCACCAACCCAUCAUCAUCAUCACCAGCUCAUCAUCAUCAUCACCAGCUCAUGCGCACUCCCUACUCGCACAUGGCUGGGUCAUCACCGGGUUAUGCGCACUCCCUACUCGCACAUAACCGGGUCAUCCUCGGCUUAUGCGCACUCCCUACUCGCACAUAGCCGAGUCAACAUAAUUACACAACAUUAUAUUCAAGCAUAUAUGUAUAUCAACAUAAUGCAGCCACAUAGAAAUCCAUAAUAACCACAUUUCAUAACAUAAACCUUUUCUCAAAAGCUUGUUCCCAAGGCAUUCAUUUUCAUGAAAAAUUGCAUAAAAUCAUUCAAACACUUUGUUCAAAACAGUCAUAUUCCCAAAACAAUUUUGAUAGGCAGUCCACUCACAGGUGUCGAAAAUCCGGAUUCCGGGUGAACUCUGACUAAUAGUCCUCAGGCGUAAUUCCUUUGCCUUUUCCGGACGUCUCACCACCUUGACAAAUAACAAAGUCGAGGAAUUUACUAUAUUGUCCCUAAAUUGAUAUAAAUUAAUUUAAAUUACUAAUGCUUGAUAUGUAAAUGCAAAAAUAUGUCCGAUUACCGCUUAAUCACGGUAUCGAUUAAAUUCGACCGAUCACCCGAUUAAUCGGCGAUUGUGUCCAAAUCACCUCCAAAUUAAUUCAUUUCUCCUCUAAUACCUUAAUUUACCACAUACAUUUAAAUAAAGCCAAAUUCAGCAUUAGAACCCUCACAGUUCCUUAUAGAAAAAUUUGGUCAUUUGGUGCACUAGCAUCGAAUUUUUUUCUACAUAACCGUUUCACCUUAAUUCAUCAUUUUCCAAGCCAUUUUCCUUGAAAUAAAAACAAUCCCCCAUUGAUAUUCAGCCCUCAUGGUUCGACCAACAAGGAACCCUAGAGAAAUUGAAUAUUUCUUUUGUGUUUUUGUUCAUAACCAUGCUUAACUAUCCCUAAACACUAACAUAGUCUAAAAUCAAAUUAUUCCAACAACAAUUCCUCUUCCAUACCCAUUUUUCAGAAUUGAAUUCAUCAUGAUAACUCAAUAUUCAACCAUGGAAAUCAAGAACAAAAGCAUGGGUAAGCUAGGUAUCAAGGAGAAUUAAAGAAAUUUUAACUUACCUAGCUUGUUUCCUUGAUUUCUUCACUUUUUCUUUGAAUUUCCACCUAGGUUUUCUUGUUUUUCCUUUUGUUCUUCCUUUUUUCUUGUUGCUGGAUGUCUAGGCCGAAUAUGGUGAGGGAAUUGGGGAUUUAAUGGGCUGAUUUCUAUAGAAAAUAAUAAAAUAAUCAAGCAUGCCAUGUGUCACAUGCUUAUUGGCCCAAUUUUUAACUUUUUGACUUUUUCUUCUUAAUUUUCCACCACAAAUAUUCUGGUAUUUAUCCAAUCCUACCACAAUUAAAAUCCCUUGGUCUUGACAAGUGCUGGGCCGAAAAUUUUACUGAUUUGCCCCCGAGACAAAAAAAUUACGAUUUUGCCCUUAUACUCCGAAAUGUACCGGAAUCUCAUUAUUUCUACUUUUCAACCUAAAAUAACACUAAUAUUGAUCAAUAUUAACCAAAUGGGGCAAAAAUUGUUUAAAAAAAUUUUCGUUUAGUCCACUAGUGGCAAAAUUACCAUUUUGCCCUUCUGCUCCAUAAAUACCGGGAAUCACAAUUUUUCACUACUAAACAUCAUUUUAUACUCCAAUAAUCAUAAUUAUAUUUCAUAUAAUUAUUCUUGGUCAAAUGUGAUCAAAUCUUGGCUAAAAAUCUCCAUUUUAUCAUCAAAUGGUAAAAUGACCGUUUUGUCCCUAAUUGGUCAAUUUUCUGAUGGACUCCAAACUGGACCUUGAACUCCAAAUCACUAUUCUAAGCCAUUCUGUUGGUUUUAAAAUUUUCAAAUUCCUCUUAGAAUUUCUAUUUGAACUAGUUCAAGGCUCGAUUUAACUUAGUUGUACCACUCGAUACAAUACCGUCUUUUAAUCGAGCUUGACAGGGUCUCACAUUCUCCCCCACUAAUAAAAAUUCGGUCCCCGAAUUUAAAUUCAAUGUAGAGUGGGUUACCUUUACAUAUCGAAGAGGUGUGGAUGCUUUGUCCGCAUGUCAUCCUCAGCUUCCCACGUUACCUCCUCGCUAGUGUGAUUCCGCCACAACACUUUCACUGAGGCUACAUCCUUUAAACGGAGCUUUUUAACUUGCCUAUCAAGGAUAGCUACCGGUUGUUCCUCAUAGGUUAGAUCAUCUUGCAACUGAAUAGUUUCAUACCGUAUUACAUGUGAUGGAUCUGGGUUGUACUUCCUAAGCAUGGACACAUGAAACACGGGAUGAAUAUUAGAAAGGUCUGGCGGUAAUGCCAAACGAUAAGCCACCGCUCCAACCUUUUCUAAGAUCUCGAAUGGCCCUAUAUACCGAGGACUUAACUUCCCUUUCUUGCCAAACCUCAUUACCCCUUUAGUUGGCGAAACUUUCAAAAAUACAUGAUCUCCUACUUGGAACUCCAAGUCUCUCCGUCGGUUAUCAGCAUAUGAUUUCUGUCUACUUUGUGCUGUUAACAUCCUCUGACGGAUCAUGUGUAUUUUCUCGGUUGCAUCCUGCACCAAUUCAGGCCCCAAAAGUUUCCUUUCUCCCACCUCUAGCCAUCCAAUGGGUGACCUACAUCUUCGUCCAUAUAAGGCCUCAAAUGGUGCCAUUUGGAUGCUAGUUUGGAAACUGUUGUUGUAGGCAAAUUCCACUAAGGGUAGAUAUUGUUCCCACCUGACACCAAGGUCUAUCACACAAGCCCUCAACAUAUCCUCCAAUGUCUGUAUGGUCCGUUCAGAUUGUCCAUCAGUCUGAGGGUGGAAAGCUGUGCUGAAAUCCAACUUAGUGCCCAAUGCUUCUUGCAACUUUCCCCAAAACCUACUAGUAAACUGAGCUCCUCUGUCAGAUACUAUAGAAAUGGGAAUACCAUGUAGUCGCACUAUCUCAUCCACAUAAACUCGAGCAUAUUGGGCAGCCCCAUAAGUAGUCUUAACCGGAAGAAAAUGAGCUGACUUUGUUAACCGGUCCACUACUAUCCAAAUUGAAUCAUAUCCCCCACUGGUUCGAGGCAAACCCGUUACAAAGUCCAUAGCAAUAUGUUCCCACUUCCACUCGGGUACUGGUAAUGGCUGUAGUAGCCCUGCAGGCUUUUGAUGCUCGGCCUUAACCUGCUGACAAACCAGGCACUUGGAGACAAACUCAGCUACAUCUCUCUUAAGUCCUUCCCACCAAUACACCUCUUUCAAAUCUUGAUACAUCUUUGUAGCCCCUGGAUGUACCACAUAAGCUGCCAUGUGAGCUUCCUCCAAUAUUUCUCUCCUCAACCCGUCACCAUCAGGCACAUAAAGUCUGGUUCCAUACCUCAACACUCCAUCUGUGCCUUUAGUAAACAUUUUUCCUUUCCUACCCUGAGGAUCCUCUAAGGCCUUAAUCACAAACUCAUCUUUACUUUGUGCUUCUUUAAUCCUGUCCAUUAAAAUAGGCCUCACUCUAAAGUGUGCUAGCAAAGCAUUUGUCUCCGCAACUUCCAAACGCACACCUAUGUCUCCCAAGCUAUGGAUCUCUCUAACCAAAGAUCUCCUACCAAUGGAAAUAUGUGCCAAGCUUCCCAUUGAUUUUCGACUCAAGGCAUCCGCCACUACAUUGGCCUUACCGGGAUGAUAAAGAAUAGUACAAUCAUAAUCCUUUAGCAACUCCAUCCAUCUACGUUGCCGUAAGUUAAGAUCCCUCUGCUGAAAUAUAUACUUCAGACUUUUGUGGUCCGUGUAUAUCUCGCAAGUCUCACCAUACAAGUAAUGUCUCCAAAUCUUUAAGGCAAACACGAUUGCUGCCAUUUCCAAAUCGUGUAUGGGGUAAUUCUGCUCAUGCCUUUUAAGUUGCCUAGAUGCAUACGCAAUCACCUUCCCAUGUUGCAUUAAUACACAUCCUAAACCAACCCCCGAUGCAUCACAAAACACCGUGUAACCCCCUGUGCCUUGCGGAAGGCUUAACACUGGAGCUGUGGUGAGACAUGCCUUAAGCUUCUCAAAACUAUUCUCACAAGCAUCAGACCACUCAAAUUUUGUAUCUUUACGUGUCAGCUUAGUCAAAGGGGCAACUAUUUUGGAGAAGUCUUUCACAAAGCGACGAUAAUAGCCAGCUAAACCCACAAAGCUUCUAAUCUCCGUAACUGAUGUUGGCCUUGGCCAUUUUUCCACUGCUUCAAUUUUCUUUGUAUCAACUUGUAUCCCCUCCUUAGAUACCACAUGCCCCAAGAAUGCAACACUUUCGAGCCAAAACUCACACUUGGAGAACUUAGCAUACAAUCGAUGUUCUCUCAAAAUUUGGAGCACUAUCUUAAGAUGCUGCUCAUGCUCCUCUCGACUCUUUGAAUAUAUCAAAAUGUCAUCAAUAAACACCACCACAAACUUAUCCAAAUAAGGUUUGAACACUCGGUUCAUCAAAUCCAUAAAGGCUGCAGGAGCAUUCGUGAGCCCAAAUGACAUCACUAAGAACUCAUAGUGCCCAUAUCUUGUUCGAAAUGCGGUCUUGGGUAUAUCUUCGUUCCGGAUUCUCAACUGAUGGUACCCAGAUCGCAGAUCUAUCUUAGAAAAACAUUGUGCUCCUUGUAGUUGAUCAAAUAAAUCAUCUAUCCUUGGGAGAGGAUAUUUAUUCUUCACCGUCACUUUAUUAAGCUGUCGAUAAUCAAUGCACAGCCUAAGUGACCCAUCUUUCUUCUUCACAAAUAACACUGGUGCUCCCCAUGGGGAUACACUAGGUCGUAUGAAACCUUUAUCCAACAAAUCCUCCAACUGAUCCUUAAGCUCUUUAAGCUCUGCAGGUGCCAUUCUAUAUGGGGGUAUGGAUAUAGGUCUAGUGUCGGGAAUCAAAUCUAUGCAAAACUCAAUCUCCCGUUCAGGAGGCAAACCUGGUAGCUCCUCGGGAAAUACAUCCACGAACUCCUUCACCACCGACACUUGAGUUACAUCUCCAAUCUUUGCCUGACUAUCCUUUACAACAGCCAAGUAACCUAUACAACCCUGUCGUAAUAAUCUUCUGGCAGAUAUGACCGAUAUCAAAUUGGUUGGAGCAUUACUCCUAUCCCCCUGAAUACUAAAUGAUGGUUCACCGGGGAAAUCAAAUCUAACCAAUUUAUGAUAGCAGUCCACACUAGCAUGGCAGGGUGAUAACCAAUCCAUCCCCAAGAUUACAUCAAAGUCUAAGGUGUCUAGCACCACUAGAUUCACCGAAGUGUCUUUGUCCUUGACUCGCACUACACAGGACUCAUAUUCCCACUCGGCCACAAAUAUCUCCUUUAAAGGAGUAGACACCACUAAUUGUUCCUCUCUCCUAACACGACCUCUACCCAACCGAGAUGCAAAACAUGGAGAGAUAAAAGAAUGGGUAGCACCAGGAUCAAAUAGUACUCGAGCAUUCAUAUUACAAACGGAGAGAAUACCUGAGACCACGGCAUUGGAUGUUUGAGCCUCCUGCUGUGUUAAAGCAAACACCCUCGCUUGGCCUCUACCAAUAGAACUUUGAUGUCCGGACCCAGAUGGUCUGCCUUGAGAGGAAGUACCCGCACCUCUACCUCUCAAUCCACUAACCUCCCGGCCAGAUGAGACAGCAACUGACGGAGCAGAUGAAGCUGGCUGGGUGGAACCACGAGCAGAAUCUGGUGAUUGAUGUGCCAUCGGACAAUCCCUCAUAAUAUGCCCAGGUUGACCGCACCCGUAACAAGUUCUUGUAGUAAGGAAGCACCGUCCACUAUGUCGUCUCCCACAAGUAUCACAAGAGCGAAUGACUUGACUACUCUGUCUAGAAUCUUGCUGCCUCCUAGAACUGAAGGUUCUCUGUCCCACCCUAAUAUUAGCACCAGGUGCGUCACUCCCCUACUGAGGUAACCGUGAGUCCCUCUGUGGACCUUGACGGCUAGAAGAUGAACCACCACUGCUGAAAUCUCUACGGCCCUGAUAACCCUCUGUCUUGCCCCUUUUUGCUCUAUCUCUCGCAGCCCUACUCUCACUGGUCUUCAUCUCAAUGCGUUGAGCACGAUCCACUGCUGCAGAAUAGGUAGUGAAAUCUCGGGAUGCCACAGCCCUAAAUAAUGGCUCCACUAACCCAUCCACAAACCUCCAAAUCUUCAUCUCCUCAGUAGAAACGAGAUAGGGCGCAUAACGAGCUAGCUGCAUGAACUUGAUGUCAUACUCAGACACCGUCAUGCUUGAAGUCUGUACCAAAGUCUCAAAUUCUCUGGCUCAGGCAUUACGCACACUGAGUGGUAAGAAUCGAUCUAAGAAGGCUGCACUGAACUCACUCCAGGCCAACGGUGUUGCAUUAGUCGGUCUGCCUCUACAUAAAGAGCUAUACCAUUCCUGCGCCACAUCCUCUAAUUGGAAGGCGGCUAGCUCAACUGACCGAACACUAGAACAUCCCAAGGCUUUACAAAUUUUCUCCAUCUUAUCCAAGAAAACCUGGGGUUUCUCCGAUGCAUCAGACCCUGAAAAUGUUGGAGGCUUAAGCUUGAGAAAGUCAGGAAGAGAAAUAUCUAGAUGUCCCCUCUCCUCCUCAUGAUGUUGGUGAUCGGCCUGUCCUUGGGAGCUAGGGGAUUCUUGUACUGUAGGUCUCCCCUCUACUACCCUUUGUAUAUCUUCCAUGCGGGUCGCCAUCAUCUCUACAACCCGGUUAACUCCCUGUAGGCCUGUCGCCAAAUCCUCAAUAGUAAUACCCCCAACUGGGUGUCUAUCUACAUCACCUGAGGACUGUCCCUCUUCUUGCCUACUCACAAGCGUAUCCAACCCCACCGGCCUAGUGACCCUGCCACGUCUACCUCGGCCUCUCUGGGUGGAUGCCCGUGGUCUAUCUGCCAUCUCAAUGGGAGCAUCUUGCUCCCUUGCCCGUCUUGUGGCGGCUCGUGUCUUAGGCGGCAUUCUUACCUAGACAAAAGAAAACGCCUGUUAUUAAACACAUAUUAUAAUCAUACUUAAAGCAAAAGGUGGUUUCUAAGAUAGGGAAUCUAUGCGGUCAUUUGGUUGUAAAAUGUGUCGCGGUUCACACUUUACAACUGAAGUUCCCACAUAAAGACCCGACUCUCCGCUGGACUAACAAAAAGGAAGUUCUAGGACCUAGACAAACCUAGGGCUCUGAUACUUAUAUUGUCACGACCCAAAUUUCGGGUCAUGACCGGCGCAUGGGUCCAAUGGACGCAAUCCAUUAAACCCAAGCAAGCCUGUUAUUUAUCUUACUUAUGAUUCUAUUUAUUACCACUAAGUCCUAUUUCAUGACUUUGAGUCAAAAUAGUGAUAUACAUUGCCAACUCGUACUGGCAUUACUUUUUUAAAAUUUACAUUAAGUUCAUCUAUACAUAACAAAAUAAUACUCGACCUCCAGCGGAGUGACUCGGAUGGAUAUACAGCUACCGAAUGCCGAGACACCUACCAAAAGAUGUACACAGAUCUACAAGGACACCUCGUCCUAAUUAUCGGCUACCUCGUGAUCUGAAAACAUGAAUUUGAAAAUGGUCAGUAUAAACCCAGUGAGUGAACAAGGAAGGGAACAAGCAACAAUUAGGAAAAAUUUAAAAUCAUGAUGCACUUGUUUCAAAACAAUGCAAUUUAGUUCAUUCCUAUUUAAAACCCCUCCAAACCCCAGAGUUUUUCGCUACAGCGAGCAUGAAUUUCGAUGCAGUGAAAACAAAGCAACAAGAGAAACAUUUUUCCUCACUCAACAAAAAGCCAU